CCAGCCAAUGACGGAAACACACGUGUCCCAAUGUCACUACGGUCAACAGCGGAAAAGCAGGUGCUCGCGCAUUCGCGCUUAGAGCACGCUGCUUCAAGGGGGAAUCGUGACAACCCCGUUGUUGAUGAUUUUACGAUAACAUUCUUGUGCGUGUGUGUUGACGAGAGAGUCAGCUGCCGGGAUGCCCAUGGGAACCCAUUGGGGAAAGUGCAGUACAGGGAUAUGGACGUGAUAGACGUGAUAUGGACGUAAUAGCUGAUGAAGUACUGGAGAUCUCCUGCAGGAGAAAAAAGAAGUGCAGAUCUGGGUUUAUAAGGUGGAGUUUCAUGUAAAUGAGGGGGCUUUAGCGUCACCAUUGGUCCAUUACAGCUCCUCUUCUAGCCAAUCAAUCGAAGAGGGGAGGUGACGUCACUCCAUUGCGACUCAUGGCUGUGUUGACAGGUGAAGAAAGAUGGAUGACCGUCAGGCAGCAAAUCCCGGACAAUUACAGGCAGUGCUUUUAGAGAGGCUUUUAUCACGACUACAGGAAGCCAUGCAGCGCGUGCCUCUGGACCUGGAUUAUUUAUAUUUUUUCUGCACAAAUAGCAUGAUAUUGAUUAGUGCACACACAAAUCAUGAACAUAUGCCUCAAGAGGUAGUGCAAUGUCUUUAAAACCUGUGUUCUGUUCUUUGUAAUCGACUUUCCUCAUCAGUUGUGAAUGAAAUGGCUGGACCAA